rnacentral:rRNA from 1 species
CCUACGGGCGGCAGCAGUGAGGAAUAUUGGUCAAUGGACGAGAGUCUGAACCAGCCAAGUAGCGUGAAGGAUGACUGCCCUAUGGGUUGUAAACUUCUUUUAUAUGGGAAUAAAAUGUUCCACGUGUGGGAUUUUGUAUGUACCCUAUGAAUAAGGAUCGGCUAACUCCGUACCAGCAGCCGCGGUAAUACGGAGGAUCCGAGCGUUAUCCGGAUUUAUUGGGUUUAAAGGGAGCGUAGGUGGAUUGUUAAGUCAGUUGUGAAAGUUUGCGGCUCAACCGUAAAAUUGCAGUUGAAACUGGCAGUCUUGAGUACAGUAGAGGUGGGCGGAAUUCGUGGUGUAGCGGUGAAAUGCUUAGAUAUCACGAAGAACUCCGAUUGCGAAGGCAGUUCACUGGACUGCAACUGACACUGAGGCUCGAAAGUGUGGGUAUCAAACAGGAUUAGAUACCCGGGUAGUC